rnacentral:rRNA from 1 species
UACGUAGGGUGCAAGCGUUGUCCGGAAUUUAUUGGGCGUAAAGAGCUCGUAGGCGGUCUGUCGCGUCGGCUGUGAAAUCCCGGAGCUCAACUCCGGGUCUGCAGUCGAUACGGGCAAACUGGAGUACUGCAGGGGAGACUGGAAUUCCUGGUGUAGCGGUGAAAUGCGCAGAUAUCGAGAGGAACACCGGUGGCGAAGGCGGCCAACUGGACGAAUACUGACGCUGAGACUCGAAAGCGUGGGGGAGCAAACAGG